rnacentral:rRNA from 1 species
GACAAACGCUGGCGGCGUGCCUAAUACAUGCAAGUCGAGCGGACGAUUGAAGAGCUUGCUCUUCAAUCGUUAGCGGCGGACGGGUGAGUAACACGUGGGCAACCUGCCUUAACGACUGGGAUAACUCCGGGAAACCGGGGCUAAUACCGGAUAACAUCUAGCACCUCCUGGUUCCAGAUUAAAAGAGGGCCUCUGGCUCUCACGUUAAGAUGGGCCCGCGGCGCAUUAGCUAGUUGGAGAGGUAACGGCUCCCCAAGGCGACGAUGCGUAGCCGACCUGAGAGGGUGAUCGGCCACACUGGGACUGAGACACGGCCCAGACUCCUACGGGAGGCAGCAGUAGGGAAUCUUCCGCAAUGGACGAAAGUCUGACGGAGCAACGCCGCGUGAGUGAUGAAGGGUUUCGGCUCGUAAAGCUCUGUUAUGAGGGAAGAACAAGUGCCAUUCAAAUAGGUUGGCACCAUGACGGUACCUCAUCAGAAAGCCACGGCUAACUACGUGCCAGCAGCCGCCGUAA